AGAAGGGCUUCCACGACGGCAACGUUGAGGGGGCUCUUUUCUUUUUGC
rnacentral:antisense_RNA from 1 species